AAACAGUGACAUAUGGAUUUCAUCACAGAAGAAACAAAACUCCCCAAGCGGUGUAAAUGUGUGUGAGUGCCGAGGGCACAUCUGAAGCAACUGUUUUUCUAUGAGCCUUGCAAAUUAUUUUGUGGUUUCCACAGAGUUCCUUUUGGGUGAUUGCUUCUAAGCACCACCUAAGCCCAUCCCAAUUUAGCCCGUUGAAAGUAAUGUUUACAGACGUUUCUGCACACUGGAAGAACGUCAUUUUAUAAAAAUUUCAUCCAGAAAAUGAAUUCAAGGACAAUUCUCAUACACAGACUAGUCCCUGAACAUUCACAUUGGGUCUUCACUGCAUCUAUCAGCUGGGAAUUUCAAGAAAAAAACAGUCAAAUAAUUGACAUUCUGUAGACAAAAGAGCUAAUAGAGUUAACUGGUUUCUUUCUAAUGUUAUGGAAACAGAUUCUUUCAAAUGGCUUUUAUUGAGGUACUCAAGUCACACAACACUGUAGCUUGCAGUAGUACCUGCCUUAAGGGAAGGAGCAGCAAAGAAGGAACAGCAAUGAAGUACACAUUUGCCACACGGAUAGCAAGCGAUCACACUGUAAUUACAAGCAUGUGUCAAGGGUGACAUGGGGGACUGUAUAAAAAUCAAUCAAACGUAACAAGAGAGGGAACACCAGCCAGUGAAUGCACCAACACUGAACAUUUUCCCUUUGAAACCAGAACUCCUUUGACCUCUGGCAGCAUUGAUUUGCCAUCAGAUCCCAGCGGUUUCACAAAAGCAUCCACAGAGAUGAUCCCUAGAAAAUGUUUAAUUACAUGUUAAAUGUAUCCAGACUGAGAAAAUGAAACACCCAUAGAGUGUGGUCCCCUGAGUUCCCCUUCACCUGACUCACCUUUGAGGAAGCAAAUCUAUACCAGGUAUUAAACAGGUUAUCGGUUGGGGAAAGAAAAAGAUAGGUUAGGCACAUUUCAUACCUUGGAACAGGUGACAACACUAAGGCUUAAUCAGGAACCAUUCUCAACCACAGAUGGAAGGAGACAGGAUGUUGAAUCAGUUUUGAA
rnacentral:lncRNA from 1 species